ACAUGAACAUGAAGAAUCCAAAAGAUAUAUAUAAACAAACUCACAAAUAUCUAUACGUUCGUAUGAGACAGUGAAAAUAAAUGUACCACCAACGUCAACGUUCAUCCCAAUGGGUAACCCAACGCUCGUAUCGGUAAGUGAAAACAAAUGAAUCACCAGGUCAUGCAUUCUUCUAAGUGGCGUUCGUAUGAGACAGUGAAACAAAUGUACCGCCACAACAUGUGUUUGUCCCAAUGGGAUGUAAACAAAACGCCUGUAUUAGACACAAAAAACCCCCAAAAAAUCAAAAAAGAACAUAAUGAAGAACAUAAAAAAAAUCCAUAAAAUCAAAUCCACAAGAACUAGAAGAACAUGAAGAACAAGAGAUUAAAAGAGAGCUCACCUACCUUUUCAAAAUUUGUGUCUCUUCCUGCAAAGAUCCAUCAAAACAAACCUAAAUCGAUCAUCCAUUCAAAGAAAUUGAAAGAGUACAACUCAAAUCAAACAAAAUCAUAAGAACUCAAAAAACACGGAGAACAAGAGCAAAAAAUGGAGAUAACCCACAUUUUCGAAGUUUGUCUACACUCUUCUAGUGUUUUUGUUAUGUAAAUAUUCAUCUUAAUAGAGAUAAGAUCCAUCUUGAAGAGGAAAAAAUGA
rnacentral:lncRNA from 1 species